CUUAGAGAAAUAAUCCCUGGAUAGAAUUUACGGAACAACUAGCUGAUAACUCUGAAAAGUAAAUAAAAGCAGGCAGACUCAGGAGAGAGAUCAAAAGCCCCCAAAUUGAACCAAUACAGCGGACUUCCUUGAGAAGAGAAAUGUAAAGAUUUUACAAAUGGAGGAAAAAAUAGAAACAAUGGGUUUUCUCUCCUGAAUCUGAAGUACCUGCUGUGUGUUUGAAAGCAUCAUUGGGUCAUAGAGGAAGAUCCCCUGAUCAGAAAGAAUUUUUUAAUCAAAUUGGCUUAUGCUC